rnacentral:rRNA from 1 species
AGAGUUUGAUCAUGGCUCAGAUUGAACGCUGGCGGCAGGCCUAACACAUGCAAGUCGAGCGGCAGCGGGAAGUAGUUUACUACUUUGCCGGCGAGCGGCGGACGGGUGAGUAAUGUCUGGGGAUCUGCCUGAUGGAGGGGGAUAACUACUGGAAACGGUGGCUAAUACCGCAUGACCUCGCAAGAGCAAAGUGGGGGACCUUAGGGCCUCACGCCAUCGGAUGAACCCAGAUGGGAUUAGCUAGUAGGUGGGGUAAUGGCUCACCUAGGCGACGAUCCCUAGCUGGUCUGAGAGGAUGACCAGCCACACUGGAACUGAGACACGGUCCAGACUCCUACGGGAGGCAGCAGUGGGGAAUAUUGCACAAUGGGCGCAAGCCUGAUGCAGCCAUGCCGCGUGUGUGAAGAAGGCCUUCGGGUUGUAAAGCACUUUCAGCGAGGAGGAAGGGGUUGAGUUUAAUACGCUCAAUCAUUGACGUUACUCGCAGAAGAAGCACCGGCUAACUCCGUGCCAGCAGCCGCGGUAAUACGGAGGGUGCAAGCGUUAAUCGGAAUUACUGGGCGUAAAGCGCACGCAGGCGGUUUGUUAAGUCAGAUGUGAAAUCCCCGCGCUUAACGUGGGAACUGCAUUUGAAACUGGCAAGCUAGAGUCUUGUAGAGGGGGGUAGAAUUCCAGGUGUAGCGGUGAAAUGCGUAGAGAUCUGGAGGAAUACCGGUGGCGAAGGCGGCCCCCUGGACAAAGACUGACGCUCAGGUGCGAAAGCGUGGGGAGCAAACAGGAUUAGAUACCCUGGUAGUCCACGCUGUAAACGAUGUCGACUUGGAGGUUGUGCCCUUGAGGCGUGGCUUCCGGAGCUAACGCGUUAAGUCGACCGCCUGGGGAGUACGGCCGCAAGGUUAAAACUCAAAUGAAUUGACGGGGGCCCGCACAAGCGGUGGAGCAUGUGGUUUAAUUCGAUGCAACGCGAAGAACCUUACCUACUCUUGACAUCCACNGUGAGACAGGUGCUGCAUGGCUGUCGUCAGCUCGUGUUGUGAAAUGUUGGGUUAAGUCCCGCAACGAGCGCAACCCUUAUCCUUUGUUGCCAGCACGUAAUGGUGGGAACUCAAGGGAGACUGCCGGUGACAAACCGGAGGAAGGUGGGGAUGACGUCAAGUCAUCAUGGCCCUUACGAGUAGGGCUACACACGUGCUACAAUGGCAGAUACAAAGUGAAGCGAACUCGCGAGAGCCAGCGGACCACAUAAAGUCUGUCGUAGUCCGGAUUGGAGUCUGCAACUCGACUCCAUGAAGUCGGAAUCGCUAGUAAUCGUAGAUCAGAAUGCUACGGUGAAUACGUUCCCGGGCCUUGUACACACCGCCCGUCACACCAUGGGAGUGGGUUGCAAAAGAAGUAGGUAGCUUAACCUUCGGGAGGGCGCUUACCACUUUGUGAUUCAUGACUGGGGUGAAGUCGUAACAAGGUAACCGUAGGGGAACCUGCGGUUGGAUCACCU